rnacentral:lncRNA from 1 species
CAGCAAAGUCUCCUGGGAGGGUUUAUAUGUUAAGCUCUGUCAGUAAUUUCUCCCCUAGCAAGAAUGAGGAAGAUGAAGAGCUCGGGUAUCUGAGGGCUGGUGUGUCUGCAUGCGUGUGUGUUUUGGGGGCCGACUGAAGGAAGAGAAGGCUGGAGAGAGGGAACAUGGGUCUGAGGGCACAUCGCUAAGGGGUCAAGAGGCCUAAAGGAGGAGUCUAAGGCUCUCCAUCGAACUUGGACUUGGUCUACAUUAGACUUUAACCUCCAUGAGGCUUGGACUUUCAGGCUUCCUCCCUCACACCGCGGGCAGGUGAGGCGUCUGCUACAGGCCUGGUCUCGCAGAGGGGGCCCAGCGCCCCCCGCCGCCGCCUUCUCCUGGAGUCUGUGUGACAGAAUGGGACCUGUGGGAAAGCAGCACGUCAGCACCCAGCCCCGCUUGCGCGCCAGCAGCUAAUUAAAGCCAGGAAGGUGAUGGCGAUUUUCAACUCAUUCCCGUUACAAACAGCCGACCUUCCUACCGAGUUCAAGUACCUUCUGCCUGGCCUGGAAGAACAAUAUCUCUCUGUCUCCCUCUUCCACUGGCCCUCACCUGCCUUCCCCUGAACAUGCAUUUUGCCUGACAGGAGACAGAGGCAGUUGGCUGGAGACAGACGCCUCCAUCCUCCUGCACACAGUCCUGUGCCUGCUUCUGCAGUGACUCCCUCUCCCUCUGUGGAAACACAUGAGGAAUACAGGAAUAAGGGUUAUCUUCUACUGAAGCCUGCCUAGUGUUUAUUACAGAGAUGGAGUCUUGCUAUAUGGCCCAGCUGGUAAUGCCUAGAUUCUUGAGUCCCUCCCUGGCUCAUCCCUGGGAGCAGCACUGAACCCCUUGUCUGACACCUGUCUGGAAAUGGAGCCUGCACAUUGACCCUAGAUGCUUGCAGCUUGGUCCAGGAGGCCAGCAGGACCAGAGAGAAGACCACAGCGACACAUGGGGAUGGCUGUCCCACAGGCAGAAAUGAGCAGCCGGGAGGAAGCCCAGGCAGCCAGCCACCCAGCUCCCUCCACAUCGUGGCCCUAGAACGGAGUCUUGAAGAAUAAGAAGCCACAGCUUGUCAGGGAAUCAGGCUGGAAAAAUGUUAUGAGACUGAGUAAGACCAGAGUUUCUGGGUCAUUGGUGAGACUGGAUUUCAUAGAAGAGUCUUUGCUACAGCAAAACCUCUCUUCAAGCAAUACACUAUUCAAGCUGCUGGAGGCUAGAUUGACCAGAAAAAUGGGGCCAAUAUCAUGAUUCCUCAGCAGUGCCUGGAGAAGACCAGGAGAGGAAGCAGAAGACCCUCCUCAAAGAAGCAGCCUUCACCUCCAGACCUCCCAGCGGGACUUAGACAAUGGGGUUAGGCAGUCACAUGUCUGCACGUGGAAACUUUCUGGGACUGUGCUUGGAUCCUGGCUCUGCCUUUUACUAGCCAUGUGACCUUGGGAAAAUCACUUGACUUCUCCGUGCAGGAUUCCUCAUCUGUAAAAAUGGUCUAAGAUUAGGAGCCACCUCAAGGUUGUUGUAGGAAUUAAAUUAAUUCAUGUUUAUAAAGUGCUUUGAACAGCGUUUGGCACAUGGAGAAUUAAAUGAGCAAACGGAAGAGCAGCAACCCUGAGUUACAUUUCUCAAGACACCGGGGCUCUUGAUGGCACAGCAGCAGCUUGCUAGAGCUUGGUAAAGAGACUUGGGCCUGGUACCUGAAGGGCAAUUCCUUGGCCAUGACAUUGUAGGGAAAGACCUCUAUGGGUGUUGAAAAGACAAGGCGAGGACAAGAAGAGUUGAAAAGGAGCUGUUCUGAAGCCACCUGGCUGUGGAUGGAGGAAGCCACAUGUAGCUUAGGUAGCCUGCUAUUGUAAUUUUUUCUGCAACUGAAGAAUUCGAAAUGGGUUUGGUGGGUAGCGAAGGGCAGAAUCUGGCUUCAAGGUGACAGAGUUUGCAUAGAGAUGGCCUUCUUGAGCAAAGGUAGUGACUCCUACAUUUUUUUUUUUUGUAGAGUUGUGAUACCCAUGAGUUAGUCAGCUUGGGCUAUCAUAACAAAAUACCACACAUUGGUUGGCUUAAACAACAGAAAUUCAUUUUCCUGUAAUUCUGGAGGCUGGAAGUCCAAGAUCAAGGUGACGACAGAGUUGGGUUUCCUCUGAAGCCUCUCUCCUUGGUUUUCAGAUGGGUGUCCUCUUGCUGUCUCUUCAUGUGACUGUCCCUCUGCAUGUGUGCCCCUGGGGACUCUUUCUUAUCUUAUAGUGACACUAGUUCUAUUGGAUUGAAGUGUACCCAUACGACCUCAUUUAAACUUAAUUACAUAUUGUAAGGCCCUAACUUCAAAUACAGUCACAUCCUGAGGUACUGUGUAUUAGGGCUUCAACAUAUAAAUUUUGGGGCAAUCCAGUUCAGCCCAUAAAAUCCCUUUUUGGUUGCUUGAUUCUGUUUAUUUGGUGUCAUGCCUUCCUUUUCCUAAAGAACUUCAUGAAUAGAAUUACUUUCUAAGUGAAAGGAACAAAACUGAUUUUUAUUAAAAAUUAUUUUGAGAUGCUUGUGACAAAUUUUGAAGUAAGUGAAGAUUUUCCUGGAGCUUCUACAAAAUCCUGGCUGAGAAUCCCUGCUUUCUGGACAGUUGAGAAGGAAAUACACUUAGUACAGCUGUUAGAGAGAUAUAGUUGCAACCACUGAGUGCUUAUUAUCUGCCAACUUAAAUAUAUUGCCCAAGGGAAUAACAAAUAUUCUAGUGUUCUUGUUAAGUAUAUUGUCUAAGGUCACACAGCUCUUAAACAACAGCUUCAGGAUUUGAACCUGGAAUCUAUCUGACUCCUAAGUCCAGAUGCUGUUCACCACAUUAGGUUGAAGCAUGGCCAGUGUUCAUAACAUACAACUAUGUCUCCAUAUCUUUUGCUAACCAAUGUUCUUGUAUGUGCAUACCUUACAGGGCAGCCAUUCACCACAAGCCCUACUAGAUGGCUUCCUGUAAUAAGGGUAGAACAGUAGUACUCUCCUUUUGAGAAGUUAUUUGUAAUUUUGUUGGUGGGCUGACAUUUAGGCCCUGCUCUCCAGCCCCAGAGGGGAUCCCAUAACCUAGAUCAGGCCAAUGAUGAUUAUCUCCGUGACUGUAGUGGCUGGUCCAGCGGGGAGGGUCAGGCAGGUAAGCUGGCCCAACCUGAGUCCUUCUUGAGGAUUUUAGAAACUGAAGGUAGGAGAGAAAAAUUCUCUCUUUUCUUCUGGGGAACGGGAUGAAGGUGGUGGGUAGGCAGAGCUGUUGGGAUGUGGAUCCAGGGAUUCUGGAAGUCCUGUCCUCCACCAUGUAAAGAAUACAUCCUGCAGAAGGAGAGAAGGGAGCCAGCACACAGAGAAGCAGAGUCAGGAGAUGGAGAAGGAGAAUCCUGAGAGCCUGAAGGUCCCUGGGUCCAGCCAUUGUCAAGGCCGAGUUCUACCGUCCUUAAGUUGUUUACCUUUCUUUCUUGCUUGCUUCUGUUAGAAGAUGAACACUCAAUGAAAAAUCACCAAACAUCUGAGGAAAGCCAUCAAAAUGAAAUAAACGAAACACACAAGUUCCUAAACACAAGUGAACAGCGUGGGCUGGGUUUUUGUCGCUUGGAACUGGAAACGCUGACGAUAAUGCUGACCUCUGAGCAGACCCACGUGAGGGGCAGCUGUGGUGUGGUGUGAUGAUGCUGGGAUAGGCACUCAGAUGGUUGAGUCUGAGUUUGGCUCUGAUAUUAUAUCAACUGCAUGGGCAGCUGUGGUGUGGUGUGAUGAUGCUGGGAUAGGCACUCAGAUGGUUGAGUCUGAGUUUGGCUCUGAUAUUAUAUCAACUGCAUGGGCAGCUGUGGUGUGGUGUGAUGAUGCUGGGAUAGGCACUCAGAUGGUUGAGUCUGAGUUUGGCUCUGAUAUUAUAUCAACUGCAUGGGCAGCUGUGGUGUGGUGUGAUGAUGCUGGGAUAGGCACUCAGAUGGUUGAGUCUGAGUUUGGCUCUGAUAUUAUAUCAACCGCAUCAUUUUGGGGAAGACACAAUUUCUCAGAAUUUUAUUUAGUUGUAAAAUAAAGAUAAUGAUAUUACAUGCUCUGUCUACCAUCUAGAGUUUUUGUCAAGACAAAC